rnacentral:rRNA from 1 species
CAAUAGCGUAUAUUAAAGUUGUUGCAGUUAAAAAGCUCGUAGUUGGAUUUCGGGGCAGCCUGGCUGGUCCGCCGCAAGGCGAGUACUGGUCAGCCGCCCUUCCUCUCGAAAGCCCCGACUGCUCUUCGUUGCAGUGGUCGGGUAGUUCGGGACGUUUACUUUGAAAAAAUUAGAGUGUUCAAGGCAGGCCUACGCCUGAAUACAUUAGCAUGGAAUAAUGGAAGAGGACCUCGGUCCUAUUUUGUUGGUUUCCAGGGCCGAAGUAAUGAUUAAGAGGGACAGUUGGGGGCAUUCGUAUUUAAUUGUCAGAGGUGAAAUUCUCGGAUUUAUGAAAGACAAACAACUGCGAAAGCAUUUGCCAAGGAUGUUUUCAUUAA